rnacentral:rRNA from 1 species
CGACCAGCCACACUGGGACUGAGACACGGUCCAGACUCCAUACGGGAGGCAGCAGUGGGGAAUUUUGGACAAUGGGGGCAACCCUGAUCCAGCCAUGCCGCGUGUGUGAAGAAGGCCUUCGGGUUGUAAAGCACUUUUGUCCGGAACGAAACGGCGGAUGCCAAUACCAUCCGUUAAUGACGGUACCGGAAGAAUAAGCACCGGACUACGUGCCAGCAGCCGCGGUAAUACGUAGGGUGCAAGCGUUAAUCGGAAUUACUGGGCGUAAAGCGUGCGCAGGGCGGUUUCGCAAGUCAGAUGUGAAAUCCCCGGGCUUAACCUGGGAACUGCAUUUGAAACUACGAGGCUA